rnacentral:rRNA from 1 species
CCAGACAGGGGGAUCGGUGAACGCCUUUCAAUUCUUCUCCUGCAUGAUAAGAAGCGAUGUUCAUCAUGUCUAUUGAUCAGGGCAUGAUCCGGUUUUCCAUAAGAUCGACGUGUUAAAAAACCCACACAGAUUUUUAUCAGAGUCUCUCAACGUUAACAUAAGGUGCGCGACCGGGCAAUUGCCGUUUGGGUUGGAGUCCAUAGAGCGAGCCUGAGUAGCGGUUACCACGUACGAGCAGUGCAGCAGGCGUGCUUUUUCUCCAAUCUUGACACAGCCAUGUAGUGAUAGCAAAGUCAAUAACAGUCAUCCGGUGUGGGCACUGGAUUGAGGGCAACGUAAUCACCGUAAAAAGGAUCAAGUGGAAGAUCAGUUUGGAUACAACAGCGCCGGACAUUCAAGUUCCAAUAGACAUCAUGUAAGUUGCGUCAGUUAAGUAGUUUGUAGGGGGAUUUAGAUCAGGGCCUUCUUGUCCGCUGAUGGGGUGUGCCACGGCCGCGACCACGUUGUUGCUGAGGACGGGGUUUUCAGCUUCGAUGUGCAGGACCGGGAGUAGUUCAGGUUACUUUUAAUAAAUUAGAGUGUUUGCAGCAGCCCACCGGAUCACCAACAUUAGCACGGGAUAACCAAUUAGGACUCUGGGUACUUCCACAGGUAGGUAGGACCGGAGUACUGUUUAAGAGGGGCAGUCGGGGGCAGCCGUAUUUCAAGGCUGCGCGUGAAAU